rnacentral:rRNA from 1 species
UACAGAGGUCCCAAGCGUUGUUCGGAUUCACUGGGCGUAAAGGGUGCGUAGGUGGUCGGGUAAGUCUGAUGUGAAAGCUCGGAGCUUAACUCCGAAAUGGCAUUGGAUACUAUCCGGCUAGAGGAUCGGAGGGGGGACUGGAAUUCUCGGUGUAGCAGUGAAAUGCGUAGAUAUCGAGAGGAACACCAGUGGCGAAGGCGAGUCCCUGGACGACUCCUGACACUGAGGCACGAAAGCUAGGGGAGCAAACAGG